GGCAUAUUCAUCAAUCCCCUGUGAGAAGCAGGCUGGUCCUGGCCAAGACGGUGCUCAGCAGCCUCGGUGUGAGGAAAUGCACACAGCUGACCUUCUCAAUGAGAAGUGACACGGAAGUUCCCAUUGUCCGUCUGCCUGCUGUCCCCUCUGCAGAGUCCUGUACCCACACCAUGCUCCAUCCCAACGACUGCAGAGAGAUGGCUCAGCAGUUACAGGCAUUUGCUGCCAAACCCACGGGCCUGUGUACAAUCCCUGGAACCCAUAUUGCAGAAGAGAACCAGUUUCCACAAGUUGUUUCCUGCCUUCCACAUGGGUACCAUGGAGUGCCACCCCUAAUAAAUAAAUAAAGUGAUGGGAAAAUGAACAUUAGUGUUAGCAGAGGCUCGUGUAUGCUGUGACUUGGAGAAGUGUCCCUAAAGGACUGUGUGUCAAUGGUUCGGACUCUGGCCUCCAGCAACACGAAGAAAUGAUGGAGAGAAUAGAAAUAUGUGCUGGAGAAAUGCUAAGAUAAGUACUGCUCUUGCAGAAGACCCGAGUUCUAUUCCCAAGGCCUGCGUUGGUCAGCUCACAACCACCUGUAACUAGGGCUCCAGGGGAUCCAACACUUCUGGCCUUCUUAGACACUGUACUUGUGUGGCAUACCCACACAGAGACGCAUAUACAUAAUUUAAAAACAAAACAAGCCUUUAGAAAGAAGAGUGGGAGCCUGGUGGGGG
rnacentral:lncRNA from 1 species